GUAGCUUAAUUUAACUCAACACAGAAGGACAAGACUGAUAUACUGAUAACUCUUCUUUAAUUCCAUGGAUGCAUGGCUAUUCUUAGUUGGUAGAGCAAUUUGUCUGAUUGGUGGAUGCUGAUAAUAAACAGACUGGUUGAUUCUGAUAAUAAAUAAGACUCUAAUGCUAUCUAGUUAUGCAGCACCAUACAGCGAGCAUCCUCCAUUUUUUUAAUGGACAUCUCCAACUUCUUGGUGUUCAGCUAACCAAGAUUUAAGCAAAUAGCAGGUCUCUGAUGUCCUUAGAUACCCUGGUUUGCAUGC
rnacentral:ncRNA from 1 species